GGGGUUGUAGCUCAGUGGUAGAGCACUUCCCUAGCAUGUAUGAGGCACUGGGUUCAAUUCUCAGCACCACA
rnacentral:tRNA from 1 species